GUGGUAUACAUUAAUAACAAUAACAACAACAACAAAAAAUAGAAACAAAAUGUUGAUUUGAACCUUCUGAGCUGAUAUGAGCUUUUUGCAUUGCCCCUCCACCAUCAGCAGGCUGCGGUACAAAUCCCGAGUUUCGCAGCCGAGGAAAUGAGGCAAAGCCUUUCCUAUUCCUAGAGCUUCCCCAGCCGCCCGAAGAGGCAGGCUUUGUCCCUGAGGCUGGGCUGUGAGGGGAGAAAAGCUGUGUAGUUCAUUAUCAACCCAAAAAACUAUCAAUCUUCCCUCUCGACCUGCUAUAGCGCCGCGGCUGUGUAUGCCGGUUGCUAACAACAGCUGCUGGAGUGGGUGAUAUUUUCCUUAGAAACCAUCCUUGCAUAGCUUUUUGUGUUUGUCUUGCCUGCUUUCUUUUAUUUUUUUUUUCUUCUUUCUCCCUGCAUCUUGCUGAGAGGGAAGGAGCCAGCUGGUGGGUCAUGGGGCUUCUCCCUCACUAUCCGGGUAGCUCCUGCUAAGGGGGUUUGCAGGGGUUGGACAUGGAGAGAGUGAUAGGCAGUAUGCUUGUGUGUUACUGCCCUCUGAUGGCACUCCACAGGAAAUACCAUCGGAAAAAAUACAGUUUUCCAACCCUUCUUCUCCAUGAGCAGAUAAGCAAGAAGCAUCGGCUGCAAGCCCCAAAAUGGUGUUUGUAGGCAUGGGACACAUGGGUUUGUGACUACACGGUUAGUGUCACAAGCUGUAGUUCGUCACUUCAACACAAUCUGCAUUUCACAAUUGGAAUACGACAUCAAAUUAGACUCUGAGGAAUCUUGUGUUUUUAGUUUCCCUGUGAAAACAGAAACUUUCCCAAGGGAAAGCUCAGCAAGUCUGCGAUAUCCUGUUCCAAAGGUUAAGGAAAGUCAGAAAAAAUGUUGUCAUCUGACAAUGGUAAGACCAGUAAAAUCGCCAAGCAGAUCAUCUCACUUUCGAAACUGGAUGCUUUUUUCCAGCUGCAGUCCAGAAAUACACCGUGGAAUCUGGAAGUGAAGGGACUCAGGCACACACAAAUGACCCAGAAGGCCUGCUGGGUUAGGUCUGAACAAGAACAUCAUGUCUUAGUCUGAAGAGAUCAUCUCAAGGCAGCCGUUCACUUUGGGACAACCAUUCACAAUAUGGGACCACCAGAGCCAUCUCCAGAACCCUUACCAGGGUUGGAUGGGAGGUAAGUAAAUUGGUCAUAGGCAACACAAUGUCUCCUGCUGCAAAGAAUUGGAGUGCAAGCAGAAGACAUAGGCUAUGCUGUUGGAGAGAGGUCAGUGACUGCUGUCUUCCAUAGGAACAGCCUGACUGCUCAGGGCUGCUGCAAUCUGGCCCUAGUGGUGGAAAUGCAAAGGAAGAGGCUUGGAUUUCUGGAUUUUCU